rnacentral:rRNA from 1 species
AUACGGAGGAUCCGAGCGUUAUCCGGAUUUAUUGGGUUUAAAGGGAGCGUAGGUGGAUUGUUAAGUCAGUUGUGAAAGUUUGCGGCUCAACCGUAAAAUUGCAGUUGAAACUGGCAGUCUUGAGUACAGUAGAGGUGGGCGGAAUUCGUGGUGUAGCGGUGAAAUGCUUAGAUAUCACGAAGAACUCCGAUUGCGAAGGCAGCUCACUAGACUGUUACUGACACUGAUGCUCGAAAGUGUGGGUAUCAAACAGGAUUAGAUACCCUGGUAGUCCGCACAGUAAACGAUGAAUACUCGCUGUUUGCGAUACACUGUAAGCGGCCAAGCGAAAGCGUUAAGUAUCCCACCUGGGGAGUACGCCGGCAACGGUGAAACUCAAAUGAAUUGACGGGG